GUGUAAGAAAUAGUCAAUAUAAGGCUCAAAAAUCAUUGUUUUUAGUCUUGGCUAUUUUGGGCUAUAUUUUUUAUGGCUUUGGCUAUAUUGGGCUAUACCUCUCAGUUAUUUGGCGGUUUUUGUGGGACCAUCUGGCAACACUGGUCUACAGUACUAUGGAUAUACACAAGUAAAUACAUUAAUAUUUAAAAAAAAUAUUCCAACCAAACAUAUUACAUGCACAAGCCAAACAGUAUGCAAACAGCAAGAAAAAAAAAUGUACACAGCAUGUACAAAUUAAUAAAAAAUGGUGUGAUUUGUUACCUAACUUUAAUGUUCUCGAGUCUUGCUUUUUGGGGCCUGAGGGAUAUGGUCAUUUCAUAGCCAGUCGUGGGAAAACUACAAUGUCCUAGUACUACGCCCAUAAAAAUGAAGGGCCCAAAAAGUUUGUGCUGAUCGUCGAGAGGUCGGGCGCUUGCAUCCCUCUUCCUUACCGAUUUUUCGGAGGUCUGGGUUAAAAUCCUCUUGGGAUAGUGUUUCUUUAUUGCUUUAAUUCAUGUUUUAUUAUAAUUCUAAUCCACGAUCUGGUCCCACAGCCACAUUCCUCAACGAAUGCGAUCUGUGGUGGGAGGUGCAGCAUGGUUUGAUGGUUGCCAAACAACAGGGAACCUGGAUGUGUUUGAGGCCGAAACAGUCGCAAUCACUUUUUGCAGUAGCAUAGAACUAAUGCAAGAAUGCCGAUAAAUACCUCAAUGUUUUUAUACCUCACAAUUUAAUAUUUUAAGUCUAAAUAAAGUUGAAUAUCUGUUAAACCUUCUUACAUAGCCAAGGUGACGUUCCGUUGCUCAUGCUGCCCAUGCUUAUGAAAUGUUGGCACAAUAUUUUACCGAAGUACCUAGAAAUCAUCUUCUUUGUGGUUUAUUCAAUAUAGAUAAAUUGAUGUCUGGCAGAUACAUUUUGUUUUCAUGGCCCCUUUAAUCGGUGUGACCAACCUACCGUGAAGUCUCGAGAUAGCUCACCUAAACUCGAGAGAAAAUUAGGUAAAAAUAAGGAGUAAGCUAACUUUCUAUCUGCAAUCGAGAAAAGUUGAAAAAAUGCUAUUUUUAGAUCAUUUGUCUUUGUCAAACUUGUUAUCGCAGCGAGGGGCAAUGAAGCAAAGAUGACCACACUUCCCAGUCGGCAAUAUUUGCUUAUAUCCCUCUAUAGGUACCUAGCGGGAUUUACACCAAGGACAUCAUUGAUCCGAACACUACGAUUACUACGAAUAAACUAUUUUUUGGUGUUUAAAAACAAACAAAUUGAACAUCAAGCCACAAAUCCCAGAAGGGAAAAUCCCUUUUGGGAUUUUCUGGUAUGUUGAUUAUUGUUAAUGUUAUUUGUAUUUAUUGCUAAAAUUUUCCUGAACUGGGAAUUAUAGAGUGAUUGAGAAAAAUAAACUCUGUUUUUUGGCACACAAAUAAACUAUGCACCGCGAAAACCUGAAAGUAAAAGAAACCAAAAAGUUGAUGCCAGCAGUGGGAAUAGUUGCAAAAGUUUGAGAGCAUAAUAAAGCAGAACAAAAAAUGUUAAUGAAUUGACGUUUGAUGAUCGUUAGGCUUUGAUGUAUGUUGGCUCAAGAAGAAAUAUUACCUUUGGCUUUAUAUUUUAUUCAAAUAACACUGUUCUCAAACUGUAUUCUGUCACCAAUAAUAGUGUCACAUUCCCACAGGGGUUCCUGCAAUUCGUGAUUUAUUUAUUGGGACCGAAAAAGUGUGUUGUAUUUUCUCAAUCUGACCAUGUCGUGUGACAUGCUACUGCCUUGAAAAUGAUUGUAUACUUGAUUUGCAGGAGCAUCGAUUGCCUCGCAUUUUUCCAAACCUUGCAAGUCAUCGCUGCUUCGGUGAAGGUGCUAUCACCAGCCCUGUGCAUCGUUUGCAAGUAAUUGAACGUCGCCUAAACGUGACAAGAUUGCACUGCCGGGCCCUCCCUGGGCCUCCCCUGGCUACACAGCUAAGGGACCGUCCAUGCAGGGAACAUCAUGUGCUAUGCACAGCAAAUACAUUUCAAAGGGCAUGAGUGCACUCAUUCAUUUUCAAUGAGGACAUCAACCGUGGAAACAACACAGCUUAUCUCCUUGCCUCCUCGCUGUUAUCUCCUCUCCCGUUUUGCUUUUGAGAAAUUUGGGACCGACAUUAAGUAGAAUCCUUGAGUUAGGCCUUAAACCAGCAGAUCAUGUGGUAGCUAUGUCAUUACCUCCCUCAUGUGCAUGCACCGAGGCUUUGUCUAAUGAUGCCAGUAGAGGGGGUGGCUUUUGCCCGGCAGUAAAUGACUCAAAGCGGUUUGGAAGGCAAGGAACAACCUUGCUUUUCGUCCAGCAAAGGCUGUGUACAGCACAAGCCCUGCCUUGUGUGAACAGCCCUUGACGUAGUUGACCAUUAUCAAGUGAUUCAAGCCAGUGUGAUGGCUACAAAGAAUCUCCUAGCACAUCUUCUAUGUGUAGAACUAAAUCAGUCUCUCCAGCUCAAACAAAGUAUCAAAUUUUGCUGGGUGCCGGGCCAUGCGGACAUUGGAGGAAAUGAAGCAGAUAAGCUGGCCGCGUCUGUGAAAGAUUCUAAAGGUCUCCUUUGGCCUGUUUCACCAGAAUUCCAAGCCACCCUUCAAAAAAUCAAUUUUUAACUCGUGGCAGCUGGAAUGACAUGUCGAAAAAGAAAAUAAACUUAAUGUUAAACUUAAUGUUAUCAACCUUAUUUUGGACAUUUUGGAGAGCUCCUUUCAUAGAGACCGUCGUCCUGAAGUUCUCCUUUGCCUCCCGACAAUUGGUCGUUCUUGCUGGACACACCAAUACCUUCUUUGUGCUCUAUGACCAUUCUAGGCAACUUUUGACUAUCUUGCAAAUAUUGCGGCACAGUGGCUUUUAUCACGAUCUAUGGUGAUCGUGCUUUCCAGAGCUUAUUAGGGAACAUCUUCCAUUUCAUUGUACAGUCGACUCUCAUUAAGUCAAACUCUCUUAAUUCAAACUUGCGGAUAAUUCAAACUAACAUGCAGGUCCCGUCUAUGCGUCUCUAUGGGAGGAAACUCCAGGUAAUUCAAACUUUGCUUUAUUCAAACAAAUUUUCUUUCCACCUCGAGUUUGAAUCAACGAGAUUCGACUGUGCCUUCCUGCUCGGUGAUGAGCCUUCAGUAUCGUUCAACCGCGUCUUAGGUUAUCUUUAAAAAAUUGCCAUUUUAUGCCAGUCAUAAUUUUUAAAACUAAUUACAUUGCUAUUCUCGAUUGUUCUAAAUCGGUUUCACUUAGUGCAAUAUAGUACAUGGCACAUAUUAGAACAUGUUGGCUCAUCAGUGUCUGCAAAUUCAAUUUGACAUGCCACAUGUUCCCAGCAGGACCCGUCUCAGGCACCGCCGGCAAUGAAGAGAAGGGCUAGUGGAAGUCUCCCCAGCGGCGGGAAAACCAGCACCAAUGCCGUUUUUUUUCUUUACUCCGCCUGCGACAGAAUUAGCAGCACCAGACACAAAGGGACGCACUUGGGGAAAAGAAUAUAUUAGAGUGCGGCACUCCUGGGUGCUGACCUCAAAGUUCCUUGCAUUCUCCCUGUGCACUGCGUGAAGGUCGACACUGGCGACCAUCGCAGGAUGUGGCAUGUGGCAUAUGGUUUGCAGAGAUGCUUCUUCCCACUGGCCAACCCAAGUUUCUGGAGCAUGCGUUCUUUGUGCAGUGUCCUUGCUUAUACCAGUCCAGCAUCAUCAAAAUGAGUGUCUCCUAUUGCAUCAAAUGGAUCCCAGUUAUUUAGAUGAGCACGAGCAGUCGACCUAUGUGAUCACAAUUCACCCCCCACUCCAUUUGUGCAGACAAAACCAGUGUGAUGUGCUUGUCUUGCAACACAUGCUCUUGUUGGGUGUUUGAGACUACAAGGUGUCAGCAAUUAUUUUGCAAAUUGCAUUCUGACACUGGAAGCAUUGCUUGCAUACUCAAGUAGUGUGUGAUUUUUCAUAGAUUUACAGUGACAUUCACUCUGCAGUGACAUUUUGUAGAACAUUAUUAUACAACGGACAGACAUCACUACAUGGUACGUCCACAGUACUAUAGCAUUCACUGCAGCCUUAUUAUGUCAUAGCAAUUUUGAAGCCCGGAAAAUAGAUUGGUUUAUUAUUGCUUACAUCUAUUAGGAUGUGAGGUGAGCUGCGCUUCAAUUAAAGAUAAAGUAUACAUAAAAGUUUUCUGCGUGACUGGGCUAUGCCUGUCAAUUUUUCAUUAUCUUAAUAUGUGAUAUCACAUGAAUGUAAUAAGAGCCCUUCUUAAUGCUUUAAUUGUACCUUGCCGAGUUUGUUCCCUUUGUUCUUAAACAAAAAGGGUGUCGAUAGGUUUGUUUUGUGUGUGCUGCCUUCUGCUGAAGGCAGUGCAGUGGAGGAUCUGGUGCGACAUUUGCGCCAAACUGCGCCAUAAUGAAUGACCUGCUACAUGCUGCUCCAAAGGCUGUAUUUGUGCACAAUUUGCGCCAUGUCUGCACCAAAGGGAGCUGUUCUCAAAAAGGAAACUGAAAGUAUUUGGCAUGUAGCAUUCUUGGCGAUGCCACUGAAAAUUAAGAAAGUACAGUUUUUUUGUUGUUUUUUUUUUUUUUUUUUUCGGAUGCCCAAGCACUAUGUGCUAAGUGUAGGGCUGUGCAAAUAUUCAAAUUAUAAACAAUAUUGAUAUUUUUCGAAGUGUUGAUCAUGUCGGGUUAACCCCCUUGAGUGCGCUUCUCCUCAAGCACCAUUGCACUGCGGAGAAGCAAUACUCGCGGAGCUGACACCGCAAUCUCGGGACUCACUUCGCCGCAGCGCAGCCGGACACUUAGGUGAAAAACACACCUUCAGAGAGGUAUAAUGCAUGCAUGCGCCUGGUGUAAUGAAAAAAGAAAACAUUGUCUUUGUUGAUUCUUAGAUUGCAGUAAAAUCUUCAAAAUUUAACUGUGGCUAUCAUGCCAGGGUAUAUGUUAGACAGCAAUGUUUUAACAACCUGUGUUCAAUAUUUGUGCUUGUUUUCUUUUAAUUCAGCAAUGGAAAAAAUCCCUUCAAUUAGGUAUGGCUCUCUUAUAGGUUUAAUUUUAUGUCAAAUAUGUCAUUCACCUGCCUUGCCAAUGUAGGUAUUCCACUGUCUGAGGCCAGAGUCUGUAAAUAUAGCUAGAUUAAAUUUAACAGAGCUCAUAAGUGGGCAGUUGGAGGUUUGGGGAGAAGCUUUGCAAGUUCAGCUGAUUUUCUCUUUAAGCAUGGUGUAGCAGUAGUGAAAGGAGCAGCAACUAUUCAAUAUUCGAUUAAAAUAUAUUCGGCCAGAACCCCUAUUCACUUUGAAUUUGCUUCAAACCCAAUAUCCAUUAUUUGCACAUGCUUAAUGAAGAGUUGUCGGUUCUUGUGCGAACGGUGUUCCCAUCGAUUGCAAUAAAUAGGUUGUGCUACUCAUUGUGAUCGGUAAGAGUAGCCAUGUGCUCCACUUAGCUGCUCUAUGAACAGUAGCAGGUUGAAUACGAGCGAAGGCAGCGUGGGACACAUUCAAUGCAAAAGUGUCCGUUUUUCCUCAGCGUAAUUUCCUCACUGUAAUACAAACCCUACAAAGUAGCCAAAAACAUUUUUUCUACAUCAAACCGAAGACGCCGUCGGUACUCCUAAUAGGUUAUUCAGACAUCUGGGAGAUUUACCUCGUAUAAUUUUUCAAUAAAUAAAUAAAUAUCUGUAGUAGCCAGGUAACUGGUAGGUUACCUGGCUCCCAACACUACAACUGCAGUUUUUUUUUUUCAUAGGCUAACUUUAGAAGAAAUAGCAUAAAAUUUUCUGACAUGAAAGCUGAAAUUUGUCUGCUUCAAAAUUCAUUGUUUCAGUUCCACCACUGCUAAAGUUUGUGCCUUGGCAUUACUCUUUCAUUGUCUUUGACUUUCUUUGUCUUGUUUCUC